UACGUAGGGGGCAAGCGUUGUCCGGAAUCAUUGGGCGUAAAGAGCGUGUAGGCGGCCCGAUAAGUCCGCCGUGAAAGUCCAGGGCUCAACCCUGGAAUGCCGGUGGAAACUGUCGGGCUGGAGUCCGGAAGAGGCGAGUGGAAUUCCUGGUGUAGCGGUGAAAUGCGCAGACAUCAGGAGGAACACCAAUGGCGAAGGCAGCUCGCUGGGACGGUACUGACGCUGAGACGCGAAAGCGUGGGGAGCAAACAGG
rnacentral:rRNA from 1 species